UACGUAGGUGGCAAGCGUUGUCCGGAUCUAAUGGGCGUAAAGAGCGCGCAGGCGGUCGAAUAAGUCGAAUGUGAAAGCCCCCGGCUUAACUGGGGAGGGUCAUUCGAUACUGCUCGACUUGAAGGCAGGAGAGGGUAGUGGAAUUCCCGGUGUAGUGGUGAAAUUCGUAGAUAUCAGGAGGAACACCGGUGGCGAAGGCGGCUUUCUGGACGACAACUGACGCUGAGACGCGAAAGCGUGGGGAGCAAACAGG
rnacentral:rRNA from 1 species